rnacentral:rRNA from 1 species
CCUACGGGAGGCAGCAGUGAGGAAUAUUGGUCGAUGGACGAGAGUCUGAACCAGCCAAGUAGCGUGAAGGAUGACUGCCCUAUGGGUUGUAAACUUCUUUUAUAUGGGAAUAAAAUGUUCCACGUGUGGGAUUUUGUAUGUACCAUAUGAAUAAGGAUCGGCUAACUCCGUGCCAGCAGCCGCGGUAAUACGGAGGAUCCGAGCGUUAUCCGGAUUUAUUGGGUUUAAAGGGAGCGUAGGUGGAUUGUUAAGUCAGUUGUGAAAGUUUGCGGCUCAACCGUAAAAUUGCAGUUGAAACUGGCAGUCUUGAGUACAGUAGAGGUGGGCGGAAUUCGUGGUGUAGCGGUGAAAGGCUUAGAUAUCACGAAGAACUCCGAGUGCGAAGGCAGCUCACUGGACUGCAACUGACACUGAGGCUCGAAAGUGUGGGUAUCAAACAGGAUUAGAUACCCUGGUAGUC